rnacentral:ncRNA from 1 species
AGGGAAAAAGGCAAACCUGCGGUGACGUGGGGACGCAAAAUUACGGGUCUUAUAUAUAAAGAUAGCCGAAUUGCCAAAC